rnacentral:rRNA from 1 species
GACGGAGGGUGCUAGCGUUGUUCGGAAUGACUGGGCGGUAAAGGGCGCGUAGGUGGCCCGGUCAGUCUUUGGAUGGAAACGCCGGCGGGGCUCAACCCUGCGUCGGCCAGGGAUACUGCCGCGGGCUGGAGCACUGUAGAGGCAGGCGGAAUUCCGGGUGUAGCGGUGGAAUGCGUAGAGAGUCCGGAAGAACACCGGUGGCGAAGGCGGCCUGC